rnacentral:rRNA from 1 species
GGAAGGAUCAUUAAGAUGCGGCGCCUCAUUCAUGGCGUCGACUCACUUAUCCACACCCACUCUGAGUUCCUUGCCUGUUGCUUCCGUGAGGGGUCCCUCCCUCGCGAGUAAGAAGCACCUUGAAACGCGGAAUACCAAUGUCUUCAGUCUGACUAUGUAUGUAACAAUUGUUAAAACUUUCAGCAACGGAUCUCUUGGUUCUCGCAUCGAUGAAGAACGCAGCGAAAUGCGAUAAGUAGUGUGAAUUGCAGAAUUCAGUGAAUCAUCGAAUCUUUGAACGCACAUUGCGCCUCCUGGCAUUCCGGGAGGCAUGCCUGUUCGAGCGUCAGCACCGCAACCCUCUCAAGCGACACCUUUGCUUGGUCCUGGAGGAGGAGGACGAAAAUGAUCUCCUCCCCUCCGAAAUCCAAUGGCAGAGCUCCUUGCACAGCCCGGCGUAGUAAAGUCUACAUAAGUCAUCGCCGUUGCAUGUGCAGGCGUCCAGCCGCUGAAACCGGCGCCCCACCCUUGGUUGGGCCCAAGAAAAACAUUUCAGGUCGACCCCGAAUCAGGUAGGGAUACCCGCUGAACUUAAGCAUAUCAAUAAGCGGAGGAAAAGAAACCAACAGGGAUUGCCCCAGUAACUGCGAGUGAAGCGGCAAAAGCUCAAAUUUGAAAUCUGGCGCCUUUGGCGUCCGAGUUGUAAUUUGGAGAGACAUCUUCGGGGAUGGCAUACUGUCCUAAGUUCCUUGGAACAGGACGUCACAGAGGGUGAGAAUCCCGUGCCUGGAUGGUUGUCCAUCCCCAUUGUGAAGGGUCUUCGACGAGUCGAGUUGUUUGGGAAUGCAGCUCAAAAUGGGUGGUAAACGUCAUCUAAAGCUAAAUAUUGGCGAGAGACCGAUAGCGCACAAGUAGAGUGAUCGAAAGAUGAAAAGCACUUUGAAAAGAGAGUAAAAUAGUACGUGAAAUUGUUGAAAGGGAAGCGCUUGAGACCAGACACGGUCCGUGGUAAUCGCCCGCGCUUCGGUGCAGGUGCUCUUACCAUGACCGGUGCCAGCAUCGGUUCUGGCGGUGGGAUAAAAGGCAGGGGAAUGUAGCUUCCUCACUGGGAGUGUUAGAGCCCCUGUCACAAUGCCACCAGUCGGGACCGAGGACUGCGCUUCAGCUAGGAUGUUGGCGUAAUGGUCUUAAGCGACCCGUCUUGAAACACGGACCAAGGAGUCUAACAUCUAUGCGAGUGUUCGGGUGGAAAACCCUUGCGCGUAAUGAAAGUGAACGGAGGUGGGAACCCCGAAAGGGAGUGCACCAUCGACCGAUCCUGAUGUCUUCGGAAGGAUUUGAGUAAGAGCAUAGCUGUUGGGACCCGAAAGAUGGUGAACUAUGCCUGAAUAGGGUGAAGCCAGAGGAAACUCUGGUGGAGGCUCGCAGCGGUUCUGACGUGCAAAUCGAUCGUCAAAUUUGGGUAUAGGGGCGAAAGACUAAUCGAACCAUCUAGUAG